rnacentral:rRNA from 1 species
GACGAACGCUGGCGGCGUGCUUAACACAUGCAAGUCGAACGGAAAGGCCCUGCUUUUGUGGGGUGCUCGAGUGGCGAACGGGUGAGUAACACGUGAGUAACCUGCCCUUGACUUUGGGAUAACUUCAGGAAACUGGGGCUAAUACCGGAUAGGAGCUCCUGCUGCAUGGUGGGGGUUGGAAAGUUUCGGCGGUUGGGGAUGGACUCGCGGCUUAUCAGCUUGUUGGUGGGGUAGUGGCUUACCAAGGCUUUGACGGGUAGCCGGCCUGAGAGGGUGACCGGCCACAUUGGGACUGAGAUACGGCCCAGACUCCUACGGGAGGCAGCAGUGGGGAAUAUUGCACAAUGGGCGGAAGCCUGAUGCAGCAACGCCGCGUGCGGGAUGACGGCCUUCGGGUUGUAAACCGCUUUCGCCUGUGACGAAGCGUGAGUGACGGUCAUGGGUAAAGAAGCACCGGCUAACUACGUG